AUGGGAAACUGUCAACCGAAAAUAAGGUGGAGGAUGAGCAUUCCUGUACGGAGGAAGAGAUACGCCAACAAGGAAACACAGACUGAGAGUUGCCCGCCGAGCCCUGCCCAGGAACGCUGUGACAAAAAAGGCUCUAUGAAUACCAGCGGAAUGUGGUAUUCUACUGUCAGCCACAAUGUCAAACUUGAACUCUGUGCAACUAACACCAAAACUCAGACAGAAUACGCAACUGUCAAAGUGCCUGACAGCAAGCAACGUACCACCUACUCUGAAGACCAGAAUACAUAUGAUUAUGUCCUGAUUCAUUAG
rnacentral:lncRNA from 1 species